rnacentral:rRNA from 1 species
UACGGGGGGGGCAAGCGUUGUUCGGAAUUACUGGGCGUAAAGGGCUCGUAGGUGGCCAACUAAGUCAGACGUGAAAUCCCUCAGCUUAACUGGGGAACUGCGUCUGAUACUGGAUGGCCUGAGUUUGGGAGAGGGAUGCGGAAUUCCAGGUGUAGCGGUGAAAUGCGUAGAUAUCUGGAGGAACACCGGUGGCGAAGGCGGCAUCCUGGACCAACACUGACACUGAGGAGCGAAAGCCAGGGGAGCAAACGGG